CCUACGGGGGGCAGCAGUGGGGAAUUUUGGACAAUGGGGGCAACCCUGAUCCAGCCAUUCCGCGUGAGUGAAGAAGGCCUUCGGGUUGUAAAGCUCUUUCGCAAGGGAAGAAAACUUACUCAAUAACACUGGGUGAGGCUGACGGUACCUUGAUAAGAAGCACCGGCUAACUACGUGCCAGCAGCCGCGGUAAUACGUAGGGUGCGAGUGUGAGUCGAAAUUGCUGGGCGGGAUGUGUGCGCAGGAGGUGAAGUCCCCGGGCUCAACCUGGGAACUGCGUUUGAAACUACAAGGCUAGAGUAUGGCAGAGGGGGGUAGAAGUCCACGUGUAGCAGUGAAAUGCGUAGAGAUGUGGAGGAAUACCAAUGGCGAAGGCAGCCCCCUGGGUCAAUACUGACGCUCAUGCACGAAAGCGUGGGGAGCAAACAGGAUUAGAUACCCCAGUAGUC
rnacentral:rRNA from 1 species